CUAAUACAUGCAAGUCGAGCGAAUCGAUGGGAGCUUGCUCCCUGAGAUUAGCGGCGGACGGGUGAGUAACACGUGGGCAACCUGCCUAUAAGACUGGGAUAACUUCGGGAAACCGGAGCUAAUACCGGAUACGUUCUUUUCUCGCAUGAGAGAAGAUGGAAAGACGGUUUACGCUGUCACUUAUAGAUGGGCCCGCGGCGCAUUAGCUAGUUGGUGAGGUAAUGGCUCACCAAGGCGACGAUGCGUAGCCGACCUGAGAGGGUGAUCGGCCACACUGGGACUGAGACACGGCCCAGACUCCUACGGGAGGCAGCAGUAGGGAAUCUUCCGCAAUGGACGAAAGUCUGACGGAGCAACGCCGCGUGAACGAAGAAGGCCUUCGGGUCGUAAAGUUCUGUUGUUAGGGAAGAACAAGUACCAGAGUAACUGCUGGUACCUUGACGGUACCUAACCAGAAAGCCACGGCUAACUACGUGCCAGCAGCCGCGGUAAUACGUAGGUGGCAAGCGUUGUCCGGAAUUAUUGGGCGUAAAGCGCGCGCAGGUGGUUCCUUAAGUCUGAUGUGAAAGCCCACGGCUCAACCGUGGAGGGUCAUUGGAAACUGGGGAACUUGAGUGCAGAAGAGGAAAGUGGAAUUCCAAGUGUAGCGGUGAAAUGCGUAGAGAUUUGGAGGAACACCAGUGGCGAAGGCGACUUUCUGGUCUGUAACUGACACUGAGGCGCGAAAGCGUGGGGAGCAAACAGGAUUAGAUA
rnacentral:rRNA from 2 species